UUUGACCUCAAAUCAGGUAGGACUACCCGCUGAACUUAAGCAUAUCAAUAAGCGGAGGAAAAGAAACCAACAGGGAUUGCCUCAGUAGCGGCGAGUGAAGCGGCAAAAGCUCAAAUUUGAAAUCUGGCGUCUUUGGCGUCCGAGUUGUAAUUUGAAGAAGGUAUCUUUGGGCCCGGCUCUUGUCUAUGUUCCUUGGAACAGGAC
rnacentral:rRNA from 1 species